rnacentral:rRNA from 1 species
GUUGUAUGGUUAAGUGACUAAGCGUACACGGUGGAUGCCUAGGCAGUCAGAGGCGAUGAAGGACGUACUAACUUGCGAUAAGCGCAGAUAAGGCAGUAAGAGCCGUUUGAGUCUGCGAUUUCCGAAUGGGGAAACCCAACUGCAUAAGCAGUUACUGUUAACUGAAUACAUAGGUUAACAGAGCAAACCGGGGGAACUGAAACAUCUAAGUACCCCGAGGAGAAGAAAUCAACCGAGAUUCCGGUAGUAGCGGCGAGCGAACCUGGAUUAGCCCUUAAGCACUCGUUGAAGUAGGUGAACAAGCUGGAAAGCUUGGCGAUACAGGGUGAUAGCCCCGUAACCGACGCUUCAUCGAGCGUGAAAUCGAGUAGGGCGGGACACGUGAUAUCCUGUCUGAAUAUGGGGGGACCAUCCUCCAAGGCUAAAUACUCCUGACUGACCGAUAGUGAACCAGUACCGUGAGGGAAAGGCGAAAAGAACCCCUGUGAGGGGAGUGAAAUAGAACCUGAAACCGUGUACGUACAAGCAGUAGGAGCACCUUCGUGGUGUGACUGCGUACCUUUUGUAUAAUGGGUCAGCGACUUAUAUUCAGUGGCAAGGUUAACCGUAUAGGGGAGCCGUAGCGAAAGCGAGUCUUAACUGGGCGCUCAGUCUCUGGAUAUAGACCCGAAACCGGGUGAUCUAGCCAUGGGCAGGUUGAAGGUUGAGUAACAUCAACUGGAGGACCGAACCGACUAAUGUUGAAAAAUUAGCGGAUGACUUGUGGCUAGGGGUGAAAGGCCAAUCAAACUCGGAGAUAGCUGGUUCUCCCCGAAAGCUAUUUAGGUAGCGCCUCGGACGAAUACUACUGGGGGUAGAGCACUGUUAAGGCUAGGGGGUCAUCCCGACUUACCAACCCUUUGCAAACUCCGAAUACCAGUAAGUACUAUCCGGGAGACACACGGCGGGUGCUAACGUCCGUCGUGGAGAGGGAAACAACCCAGACCGCCAGCUAAGGUCCCAAAGUAUUGCUAAGUGGGAAACGAUGUGGGAAGGCUCAGACAGCUAGGAUGUUGGCUUAGAAGCAGCCAUCAUU